rnacentral:lncRNA from 1 species
GAGAGAUUAACAAGUGUCCAAAUGAGAAAACCAUCAGAAAAAGAGAGGACACAGUCUCAAUCAACACUUUGGGUAAGCUGCUCCUAGCUCAGGGGUUGUUCUCAGCGUGGGUGUGGCCGAACUGCCCGUGGCCCGUGCUACGCGGCAGGUGGAAGCGCCAGGUAAAUGCAAGGCGAAAGCUUUCGCGUUGCCAUCACUGCAGAGUGGGGCAGGGGAGGGGAAAGACGGAGACACGGGGCAACAGGGCUGUCAAGUGUUGCUGGUGUCUGAAGUCUCAGGCCGGACUCAGGGAGAAGGGAGCCUAAGUAACUGAGAGGGAACAGCCGGGCAGAGGAAGUGUGGUGUGGAAAACAGGCAGGAGGAAGACGGUGAGCGAGAAUUCAAUACUCAGGUCGUAGGAGCGCAGAGGAAGGGAGGUUCAGGCGUGCAGCCAUUCCGCCACUCCCUGACAGAGAGCCCAAGCCACCACCGGCUCUAGCAAAGCCCUGGUCCCGGGCCCAUGCCCACCUUGCCAGCGCGGGGUCGCUUCCUGUAGCUACUCUCCCAUCCUCAAACCCUGGCGGCUGUCCCCGUCUGGCCGAGCCCAAGCACCGCGUGCGGGAGAGUAACACACGCACUCUCCGACUGCCCGGCCGCCGCGCACGGUUUGGGGAAGGUCCAAGAUUGGUAUGUUUUAAAAGAUCUGCAGAUAAUUCUAAUUUAUGGUCAAAUUUGGGAGCUACUUGGAAAACUGCCUAGUAAAGAUGCUUUCUGGAGUGUGAUAUCCUCUCCUAGAGAGUCUGAAUAAGACAAAUAAUUGGCUCCAGCAGUGGGUGCAGAUAAAGAUGUAGUCUCAGGAGAAGAAGCAUAAACGGAGAAGCUGAUUCAAGAAAAUGAUUUUCUAUUGGAGUUGCUGAGGUAUCCAGACAGGAAUGUCAUGAGACUUUACUCAACUACUGCUAGGUUGAUUUUCUGGACAUACUGUAUCCUUACAGUGGGUAUCUUCCAUCUGAAGUAAUCUGUCUUUGUGAUAUGCCACAUGGAUGAGUUUACCUAUUACUCUGGCUUCUGCCCCUCACUUUCUGGGGCAGAUUAGAUAAUUCUUGAGCCCUAGCUACCUCACAGGUAAAAUAGGGAUAAUAGGAGAUACCUCGUAACUUGCUAUAAAAUUAUAUAAACUUCAGUGUUUAACCUUUCUAUAGGCUCCAAAAGUGCCAGUAGUGUGUGAUCCUCAGCACCUCAUUGAGAUAGGUGAUCAAAACCUUAUUCUAGCCACUGUGCCAAAUCGAUGACCUUAACACAUAAAUGAACUUAAUUCUUACAAUAUUCCUAGGAAGUAAGUGCCAUUAUAAUUUUUAUUUCAUAGCUGAGAAGCUAUGAGUUUAAAAAAGUUAAAUAUAAUUUAUUCAUUAUUGUUCAUAAGUGCUAUGGUUUGAAUGUGACCCCCAAAAUUUAUGUGUUGGAAACUUAACUCCCAAGGCAACAGUGUUGAAAACUGACACCUUUCAGAGGUGAUUGGGUCUUCAGGGCUCCACCCUAAUGAGUGGAUGAGUGCCAUUAUCACAGACCUGAGUUAGUUAUCGUGGGAGUGGGUUUCUGAUAAAAGGAUGAGUUUAAACCCUUCCUCCUUCUCCCUCUCCUUCUCUCUCUUUCUCCCUCUCUCAUGUGUGCACAUGCAUGCUCUCUUGCCCUUCUACCUUCCACCAUGGUAUGAUGCAACGCCAAGCCCCUCAUCAGACAUGGGGCCUUGAUAUUGAAUUUUCCAACCUCAAGAACCAUAAGGAAUAAGUUCCUGUCCUUUAUAAAUUACCCAGUCUUAGGUAUUCUGUUAGAGUAACAAAGAAAACAGACAACAACAAUGGAUUAUUUUAUUAGUAAUGCUACUGAUAACAUGUCAGGAUAAUUAUAUUUAAUUUUGCUAGGGAAAUUGCUUAUUUAGCAUGUGCUAACAUAUGGUCUUAUAUUGUUUCUGAGAUUUUCCUAAGUGUCACAGUUUUAUCUUCCCAAUAAUAUUUUAAUUGUAUUGUCCCAAUGAGAUAUAAAUAAGCAGCACUUACAUUUUGUUUGUAUCUUUUACUUCUUUUGGAGCAGGACUGAUCUUGUUAUUUUAGCUGGGUUCUGAAAACCCAGCUUGGCAAAGAUAUGCCAUCAUAUACCAGGAGGGGUCAAAUGGUUCAAAAUUAUUAAUUGGAGUCUGAACAGAAUUGUAGCCUACUUGCUUUUAUUCAGGAGACUUUCACCGGACCUUACUCCCAUGGAAGUAGAAAUGAAAUGAAAUUAAAUUUAUGUAUCAAUUUCAUGUAUUCUCAAACCAUCUGUCAUAACUACAUAGUCUUAGGAAAUGGUGAAAAUGGUAGCAUGUAUUUGGAUUCAAUUACAAAUGAAUUUUCAGGAAAAUAGAAUAUUCUAAUUUAUUAAAUACUCAGAUUAACAGAGUGUAUAGGAAUUAUUUAUUCUAAAAGUAUCAAUAUUAAAACUGUACAAGACAUUUUACUUUAUGUUUGAUAAUUCAUAAAUCAUUUUUGUUUCAUGCUAUGGUUUAGGAUAAGAAUUGUGAGCAUUUCUUUAGUUAUCAUAAUGAUAGGCUGGGUGCAGUGGCUUGUAACUGUAAUUCCAGCACUUUGGGAGGCCGAGGCAGGUAGAUCACUUGAUGUCAGGAGUUCAAGACCAGCUGGGCCAACAUGGUGAAGUCCCAUCUUUACUAAAAAUACAAAAUUAGCUGGGUGUGGUGGCACAUGCCUGUAGUUCCAGCUACUGGGUAGGCUGAGACAGAAUUACUUGAACCUGGGAGGCGGAGGCUGCAGUGAGCCGAGAUUGCAUCACUGGACUCCAGCCUGGUCAAGACAGAGUGAGACUCUGUCUCAAAAAAAAAAAAAAAAAAAAAAAGCUGGUUUACUUUAAAUAUUGUGUAAUAAAUUGAUAACUUACAUAAAUGUAGCAAAGAAAAAUGUUUUCAUAUUAUAAUAUGCAAAAAUGAAAAAUUAAGUUAUUUGAAAAGAUAAAGAAUUAAAAUUUAUAGAGUUUAUAUGAUCUUUAUGUUAGAUUUUUUUUUACAUUCAUUGUAAACUCUGACUCUCACAAUAGCUAUUAUGUUCAUUUUACAGAUAAAGAAAAUGCAUCUCAGAGGGAUAGUCCUAGGUUCCCAAACUUUUUCAGUGCACAAUGUUCCUAGUAUCUCAGUAAUUUUUCAUACCACUCUGUCUAAAGGUGCUCCGAAAAGUUUUCUUGACUAAGUUAUUAUUUUUAAAAUCUUAAUAGGUACUUAGGUUCUAACAACUUAGUAGCCACUUGAAAAUAAAAUAUACAUAAUUUGAAGGUAAAGUUAAUAUUUUAACUUCAUUCUUAACCACAAUUGCUAUCAGGAUGUAUGUGCCUUUUGGGCACUGCACGGCUUUGCAAAGUUUACAUCAUAUGGGAUAACACCACCCCAAUUUCUUGUUUUACAUUGAAUUUGAAGUGGUACUUGCUUAUUAUACUAAUUUCUGAAAACCCAGCUUUGCAAAAAUAUAACGUCAUUGAAAGGAGUGUGGCGUGAUCUAAUGUUGACCCUCUUUGCACUGUAUUGGAAAAUUAUCACUGUGUUGCUCUUGAAAACUUAGAAUAUCCUAUGGCACUCCUUGGAAUAUCUUGGCCUACAGUUUGGGAAACUCAUGAUUAAAUGAUUUCUCAAAAUAACACAGCUAAUAAGUGUUGCAGUUAGGAUUCAAAACCAUAAUAUGUUUUUGCAUUCAAGGUAUCUUAGUAACUGAAGAUAUUUGAUCUUUUAUUCACUAAGACUUUACCACUGUACCAUUCAAUGGAACCCUAUUUAAAAACAAAGUAUAUUAAAACAUUAUUUAAUGAUGUUAUUUGAGGUUAUACAUAGAAGAAGUAAAUGAAUCCUUAACAAUUUUAAAAAUAAUUUUUAAAACUCAUAAAAACAAUUUGACAAAUAUAAAAAAUAGUAUCAUGCAUGAUAUUUUCCCCUGAUAACAGAGAUAAAAAUGCUUUAAUCUUUUAUAUAACAUUUAAAUCAGGACUAUCCAAUUUGUUACAAAUUUCAAAUGUUGAAUUCUCAGGUAAGAUUUGUAUAACCACAAAGCUGUGCAUUUAAAAAUAUUUCUUGUCCUUCAGAUUCACUGUAAAAAGUUCAUAGUGGCUUAUGGAGGAGGCUCGCAAAUGAUUUUUCCCAUCUCUCCCAAAUAGAGGCACAUGAUUCAUCUUAGAGGAAAAUUUUAUAAAAUAAUCUCAUUUCUGUUCAAUUUAAUUUUUAUGUAAAUAUUCAUAUUGGUCCUGCUUUGUUUUUAUAUAAGUCAGUUGACAUUUUGACAAAUAAGAACAGAAAUUAUGUCCCUACUUUUUUGCUUUUUCCCAUAUAGGGGCAUCAAUGAAAAGAAAAAUGGUGUAUCAUGAAAGCCACUUUCAUUCUUGCCUUGCAAGAUAAUGAAUUUACAUAUAGAUUGGGGUGAAAUACAUGAGGCCUUUACUAUAUGAGGUGUUUUUUGUUUUUUUCCUGUUUUCAUACUUGGAUAUCAUUUGAUUGCACAAACAGAAGAUUUCAGUGUCAUAGCCUUGGGUGCUCAAACCCAAAUAAAUUUCUACUGAUGCAUUUGUGUAAUGAGAACUUACAUACUGGAAGAAUAAAUAUGCUGGAUUUAUGAGAAUUAGGUAUUAGAGCAUGUUCAAUUUUUACUCCAAUCUGUUUCUGAACCAUAGUCUAUGAAAAGUUAUUUUAAUCCAUGAAAUUCCUUCACUCAGACCUUUUUUUGUCUUGAAUACCUGUGAAAUUGAUAUCUCUGUUUAAGCAAUCUCAUUAGUCUUUAAUACAUGAUUCAUAAGGACUGAAUUGUUAAAUAUUAUGUUUAUUAAGAAUAUAGCAUUUCUAUAAAUGAAAUUAUUUUGACAGAUUAUUUGUAGAUUUUUCUGAAUAUUAAAAUACUGUAUGUAUUUGUUUUGGAUGAAAUUAAUACUGGGCUGGAGUCCUUUGUGAUGCAAAGCAUAUUUGAGUUGACACUUUGUCAUCUGAUUAGGGAACCUGGAGAAAAUGGAGCUGUUGGUUUGACAGAGUUCAGUGUUGAGGUUGAGGUUUUUGUCAGGAGGGCAUGGAAAGUGUUGAAGCAGCUGGCCUAGCUGUUCUUGUUUGGGAAAAGCAGUGAUUUACCAAACAUCUUCAUUUACCUAUAUUCAACUUUUUUAUUUAAAGCUGGUCAUCAGUUUUCAAAUAUCAUUUUUCUUUAUUUGCUUAUUUUUGUGCUUUGAAAUUCUUUUGCUUUCAAAUAGACAUGAUUUUUUUUCUUUUUUCUUCAUUCUUUCUUCAAUAUCUAUUUCCCGGUAAUGUAAACAGUUAAAUGUUGAAAUAAUUGCUAAAGGAUACUGUAAAAGCACCAUAUUUGGAAUCUUUACCAGUAAGACAGUUUUUCUGGGAUUAUUUUAGGUCAUAAAUUAAUGUAGAAGGUUAAAAUUGCAUACUUUUCUAAGAGUCUACUAAUCCCAGGGUUCUGAAAUCUACUAUUUCAAACAAAAUGGAAGAUGAGUUGAAAUUUAAAUUUACAGACGAUUGAUACUGGUUAAGAAGAUUAGUUUGGAGAAAAGUGUAGCAAAGAGGAAAUACUGUUC